rnacentral:rRNA from 1 species
CGCCUGUUUAUUAAAAACAUAGUUUUUUAAUUUUUUAAAAAAUUAAAUCUGCCCAUUGAAAAAAUAAUUUUUUAAAGGCCGCAAUAUUUUAAUUGUGCAAAGGUAGCAUAAUCAAUUGAUUUUUAAUAAAGAUCUAGUAUGAAUGAUUAAAUGAAAGAAUAUCUUUUUUAUUUUUAAAAUUUAAAUUUUAUAUUUAAGUUAAAAAGCUUAAGAAUUUUUAUAAGACGAGAAGACCCUAUAGAAUUUAAUUAAUAAAAUAUUUAUAAUUAAAAUUAUUAUAAAAGAUUAAUUUAAUUGGGGAGAUUUUAAAAUUUAAAAAACUUUUAUUUUUUUAUCAUUAAUUUAUGUUUAAAUGAUCUUUUUUUAAAAAAAGAAAGAUUAAAUUACCUUAGGGAUAACAGCAUAAUUUUAAUAAAAAGUUCUUAUUUUUUUUAAUGUUUAUGACCUCGAUGUUGAAUUAAAU